UACAGAGGGGGCAAGCGUUGUUCGGAAUUACUGGGCGUAAAGGGCGCGUAGGCGGCCCUCUAAGUCGAACGUGAAAUCCCCGGGCUCAACCCGGGAACUGCGUCCGAUACUGGCAGGCUUGAAUCCGGGAGAGGGAUGCGGAAUUCCAGGUGUAGCGGUGAAAUGCGUAGAUAUCUGGAGGAACACCGGUGGCGAAGGCGGCAUCCUGGACCGGCAUUGACGCUGAGGCGCGAAAGCCAGGGGAGCAAACGGG
rnacentral:rRNA from 1 species